rnacentral:lncRNA from 1 species
AAAACCAUGGAUAGAUAAUUGUUAAAUUAUGUGAAACAACCGUUGUUCUCUAGAAACUCAAGUUUUUAAACAAUGAUAUUUUUAUUAAAUAUUUAUAUUCGACACUUUCCUUAAUCGUAUGUCUAGGCUUGAGAAAUUUUAAUAACCUAAUACAUGGAAUAAUUAAAUGGAGUAAAUUUAAUGAAAUUAUGAGUCUAGUGAGACUCAAACUUAAGAACUGCUACUCUGAUACCAUAUUAAAUUAUAUGCAGCAACGAUUAUUUUUCAAAGCUUAAGUUUUAAGA